rnacentral:rRNA from 1 species
AGUUUUUCUGCCCAUUGUAUUUAAAAGGCUGCAGUAUAUUGACUGUACAAAGGUAGCAAAAUCAAUAGUUUUUUAAUUGAAAACUUGAAUGAAAGAAUGAAUAAAAUAUAAACUGUCUCAAAAUGUGAAUUUAAAUUUAAAGUUAAAAUGCUUUAAUAAAUUUAUUAGACGAUAAGACCCUAAGAAUUUAAAAUUAUUUAUUAUUUUAAUAUUUGGUUAAAUGAAUAAUUUUUUAUUGGGAGGGUAAUUAAAUUAAACUUUAAUUUGUAUAAACAUAGAUGAAUGAAUAUAAAGAUAAUUAUUAUAAUUAAAAGAGUAAAUUACCUUAGGGAUAACAGCGUAAUAAUUUUGGAGAGUUCAUAUUAAUAAAAUUGUUUGCGACCUCGAUGUUGAAUUAAAAUAAAAAUUAAGUGAAGAAGCUUAAAGUUUUAGUCUGUUCGACUAUUAAAAUUUUAC